CCAAUAGCGUAUAUUAAAGUUGUUGCAGUUAAAAAGCUCGUAGUUGAAUUUCGGGAUCAAUAUGUUGGUCGUGCCUUGGUACGUACUGGCGUCAUUGGUUUCUACCUUCUGAAGAACCUCGAUGUCAUUAAUUUGGUGUCUUGGGGAAUCAGGACUGUUACUUUGAAAAAAUUAGAGUGUUUAAAGCAAGCUCACGCUUGAAUACAUUAGCAUGGAAUAAUGAAAUAGGACGUUUGAUUCUAUUUUGUUGGUUUCUAGGAUCGACGUAAUGAUUAAUAGGGAUAGUUGGGGGCAUUAGUAUUCAAUUGUCAGAGGUGAAAUUCUUGGAUUUAUUGAAGACUAACUACUGCGAAAGCAUUUGCCAAGGAUGUUUUCAUUAAUCAAGAACGAAAGUUAGGGGAUCGAAGACGAUCAGAUACCGUCGUAGUCUUAACCAUAAACUAUGCCGACUAGGGAUCGGAUGAUGUUAAUUUUUUAAUGACUCAUUCGGCGCCUUACG
rnacentral:sRNA from 1 species